UACAGAGGUCUCAAGCGUUGUUCGGAUUCAUUGGGCGUAAAGGGUGUGUAGGUGGCGCGCUAAGUCGGGUGUGAAAUUUCGGAGCUUAACUCCGAAACUGCAUUUGAUACUGGCGUGCUUGAGGACUGGAGAGGAGAGCUGGAAUUCAUGGUGUAGCAGUGAAAUGCGUAGAGAUCAUGAGGAAGACCAGUGGCGAAAGGCGGGUCUCUGGACAGUUCCUGACACUGAGACACGAAGGCCAGGGGAGCAAACGGG
rnacentral:rRNA from 1 species